UACGUAGGGCGCAAGCGUUGUCCGGAAUUAUUGGGCGUAAAGAGCUUGUAGGCGGUUUGUCGCGUCUGCCGUGAAAUUUCGGGGCUCAACCCCGAACUUGCGGUGGGUACGGGCAGACUAGAGUGUGGUAGGGGAGACUGGAAUUCCUGGUGUAGCGGUGAAAUGCGCAGAUAUCAGGAGGAACACCGAUGGCGAAGGCAGGUCUCUGGGCCACUACUGACGCUGAGAAGCGAAAGCAUGGGGAGCGAACAGG
rnacentral:rRNA from 1 species